CCUACGGGUGGCAGCAGUGAGGAAUAUUGGUCAAUGGCCGGAAGGCUGAACCAGCCAAGCCGCGUGAAGGACGAAGGUGCCAAGCAUUGUAAACUUCUUUUGUCAAGGGACAAAAUCAGGCGCGAGAGCCUGACCGAGGGGACUUGAAGAAAAAGCAUCGGCUAACCCCGUGCCAGCAGCCGCGGUAAUACGGAGGAUGCGAGCGUGAUCCGGAUGUAUUGGGUUUACAGGGUGCGUAGGCGGACUGGUAAGGCAGCGGGAAAAGCCCGGGGCUCAACCCCGGCGUGCCGUUGAAACUGGCUGUCUUGAGCUGUCGAGAGGUAUGCGGAAUGUGCCGUGUAGCGGUGAACUCCUU
rnacentral:rRNA from 1 species